AUUGUAUAUACUUGUAAAAUGAAACAAAAGAGGAUCAAAUGAAAUAAAAACCCAUUUGAAGACUUAUACAGAUUAGCUAGGGACUGUAAUUGUACACAUUUAUGUAAAAUCCUGAAAAGAUGCAAUUGAGCUGCAUAUUUACUAUUCUGUUCAUGUUCUUCAAGAUUGGUUGUAUCUUUUUUUUGCUGUGUGGGUGAGCAGGCUGCUAUUGGUUCUUAUUGUUGUCGACUGAAGGUUUGUCUGGGCAGAGCUGGUGUCUGAGUGCUGUCCUGUACUACUGAGGGCUCUGUGACCCGGGCACACAGUGACUGAUGUGGCACCUUGUCUGUGUCUGUGGUCUUCUGAACAGCUUCAUCUGUUUCAUGUACUCCUUCGACAGUAGCCAGCCUGUUGCCAAGACAGUGUAAUGCCUAAACCUGGCCUGUAAUGUGCUUUUAAUAUUUUGCCCUCCCCCGCAAAAGUAAUUGGGUGUGGUUUAUGCUGUCAGACAUGCAAGCUAAUGUGUGAAUGGAUGGAUGACCUGAAGUGUGCAGGGUCUCCUUGUAAGAGUGAAUAGGUCCCCUUUUAAUUCACUUUUCCAUAAGGAAUUUGCAGGGGGAGUUUUCCUGACCUGUAGAUUAUGCCUCCCCCAUUCAUACAGAAUCUGACCUCCCCAUGUAAGGUGUGUUGGAUUUCAGACAUGCGAAAGGACAGUUUCUUUGAAAUGUUGAGUGAGGUAGUAUGAUUCUGUCAAGCCAACCUUUAACUGUAGAUUGGGGAGUGGUUGUUGAGUGUUCUGUCAGGCUGUGAGCUGUUGGAUUUGUGGGAUAUGAUCAAGGGAAUUGAGGUUGAGUGAACUGGAACUGUUUACUAUUGGGUACCAUUGUUUUUGUUCAUUGCCAUAGCUGCCGCUGAGUCACCCACCUGCCGUUCCCUUAGUGAUCUGGUUAAGGGAGUCCUCACUCAUGAUGACUGCAUUAAGGAUAUAUAUUUUAUUUUUUUACCUGCUCAUAGUGAAUAGGUCCGGUUCUGUAACAGGAAAUCAUCCCUUAUGGCACUUUUCCAUACAGGAGUUUCCUGAAAAGCUACACGGUUCUUCUGUUUACAUUGACGCAAGAUGUUACCUGUCUGUAAAUGUCCGAUGGCACUGGCAGACGCGGUCGCUUGAGGCCUAAGUCAAGCCACUUGGACUACUGCAUAAUCUAAAGUAACUGUUUAGAUUAUCCAGGGGCUGUUGAUUCUGCUCUUUACACAUCCUCUCUGCUGCCCUGCUUUGGAAACAGUUUCCCCUGUAUAACAGAACAGUCAACAGAGUACCCUGGUGUUACGGUCCAAAAGAAGCAUCAGAUGAAUGUCCUGUUGACUGAAAUCCCAUUCAAACAAUUUCAAAAUCACAACUUAAGUAUGAGGCUGAUCUCUCAACAAUGACUGUAUUGCCUUUUGGUGUGCACAUUUAUUUCAGAGGACCUGUGAUAUAUUAAAUACAGUGCUGCUUUGCCUGUCCUUGAGAGAUAGAAACAUACAUCCCAGAGCGGAAGGCUGCAUGUUCGCUGUGAUGUGAGCUAUUUUUCCACAAGGGGGAGUUGGUCAAGAUGGAAUGCUGUAGGGAAGGGGAAAGAAAUGAUCAUUUGUACCUUUUCUUUUGAAUAAUGUUUUAAUUUUUUCUAUUGCGUCAGUUUAUCCAUCUGUCAAUCAUAUUUAAUCAGUUCCUGCUUUUAAGGCUACAGUGCUCCAUAUAAUUUUAAAUGUCACAUGCAUCUUAGGUGAAAUCCUAUCAUUUUGGAUACUGCCUAAAAAGCAGAAGAGAAAAGGAAAGAAACCUUCAAAGUUCUGAGCAGCAAUAGAAGCUGGUUGUGUGUGUGAGCGUGCUUGCGUGUUUGGACUGGCAUGUCAUGCUAAACUCAACUGGUAUUGCAUUACAUUGGCUGCAAUGAUUUCAAUUCUCAGCUUCUGAGCUGCAUGUGAGAACCAAUGUAAAUAUUGUCAUUUCUACUCUUUAUGUAAUCCUGUUUUUGAAAUGCAAGGUUAUUUAACAAGUCCACCACACCAUGUUGUUGGGUUGUACAUUUGGAAAUCUUCAGUUAAAGCACAAAAUUAAAAAAAUAGAAACAUUGAUGGGGAGGGGUUAAGUGCACAGCACCUGUCAGUGUUUGGGGUUUUUACUCCUAUAAUUGGUCAGGCACAUCUGUAUAAAUGUUUAAAAGGAACAUAUUACUUUAGCCACGAUUAUCCUUUUCCCUGUAAAAUCUAAAAUAAGGCGUCCAUUGUAGUUUCGAAAGAGAAUCUGUAUAUGUAACCUUCAGAUGUAUCCUGACUAUACAACAUAUCUGAUUUGAGAUGUGGGGGGGGGGCAGCAACAUUUUAUGAUCUUCACUUUUUUCCAGACAAUUUUGACAUGUUGAGCUGAAUCAUAAUACCAUGUCUUCAAGGUGGGUGUGAAUGUCGAACUGAAUAUGAAUAACAAUGAUGUUAAUGAUUCUGAUGAUUAAAUAUGAGCGGCUGUAAACUACUACAUGGGAUAUUUUAGACUUAUGCUGUGUAUUAUUGUCUUUGGGUUGGAGAAUAUGAUGAUCAAGAGAAUAAUAAAAAGUCAAAC
ensembl:lncRNA